AAAAAAAUUUAUUUUUGUUCUCAGGGCGUAUAAAGAGGUGAUGUAAACAAAAUACAAACAAAAGUCACAAAUCAAAUCUUACAGUCUGCAAGCAUUUGAAGAUAGAGUAUCCUUUCUCCCCCCACCUCCCCCCACCCCACGCAUGGGAAGCCUGCGCCAAGUGUUAAUGAACAACUCUGAACCUUUAAAAGGUCCUCUGGGGGCUUUGCUGAGCUCGAAACCCAGGGCUAGAUUUCUCUUUUACAGAAAAGGACACUGCAUCUUUGUGAUCAAACACUAAAAAACAUAAAUAUUACAAAUAUUUAAGAACAUAUUUAGCACCACAUUUGGUCCAAUCAAUGAACUGGGAGAUGACUAUCAAGUCCUCUCUGCCUGAGACGCUGAAUGUUGCGGUUUCACAUUGCAAGAAUUUGUCACGCAAAGGAGAAGGCAGCCCUUGCAGCUCGGGCAGCCCCUCCUAUGCCUUUGCGGGUCAUGUGUGCACGUACGGAUCACCAGACCCCUCGCAAGGUGGAGCGUGCGACCCACGGGCCACAACGCAAUGGGCAACCGUCAGGUUCUGUAGGACACAAAAUCCCUUUGGUGCCGAGGGGAUGGCCAGCUUCUGCUUUAGUACUGCAUAUCCCCAAGGUCUGGAGUAAUUUUGGUCUUAGGAAGGGCUAGACAACCAUUCUUUUGCUGCGAGCUUCCCACUCCCACAGCAUCCCACCACCUUUGGUAACAGCACAGAUUUCUAGAUCUGCUGGCUAUCGGCGGUCGCAAUGGCAGCUGCUGGAAAGGAGCAACGUUUGCCCCAAAAUGGGGAGACUUAGCUCAGAUACUUAAAAUGUACCCAAAACAUGCAAGCUCACAGUAUCGGGCACCAUUUAUUCCAGACCACUACAAGGCUUUGACAGGCAAGCAGUGUAGACCCAAACGCUCUGGCGUCCAAUGGAAACGUGCACUACUAGGCAUUAUACCAUCACGGUACAGGAUGUGACCUUUGGAGUAUUUGCAUCUGCACACAUUUUGGCUCUAUUGCAGGCUUCCUAUGGACAGAAGUUCUCAGACCGAUGGCUCAAUCUACAAGCUUACCUCAAAAAUCAAGGCACUCAGCAUGAAGGCGCUCAUUCAGGUCAGUGGGAAAUGAAAGCUCUUUAGCAUCUCCAACAGACCAAGCGUCAACUAUUACAGGCCAAACUGGAGUCAAAGCUUAGACACAGCAGCGGAGUUUUGGUAGGCGUCUUCACCCUCAACCUGUUCUAAACCACGUGCUUGGCAGAUACCGCAAGGCUAGCGCUCUCCAUGUGAUAAGGGAUCCUUGCAGAAUUUAAAAAUGUUUUACUGGUAUAAACGAGUCUCCUCCCCAAACAUUAACGCAACUCGUCUGCUUCAAAACAUGGCUCUGCCGAGAAAAACAAAAAAAAAAAGACGACAAAAGCUGACUAUCCAAAAAACUGCAUCGAGAGUUGGUCUGGGGUUGCUGGGCAAGAUGUGUUUGUGAAUUUAAUGGACCUGAUGCAAGGAAGGAGGCCAGGUUAUGACUGCCAUGCCCCUAGGUCUCACACCAGAACUGCUUAUGCCAAGAGUGGCUCAACCUUGCAGUCAGAUGUAAAAUCGUCUCAAACCCACAAUUGUCUUGGUCUUUUGCAUCCAGUAAAGAAAAGCCUCUUAAGCCAUUCUGGAUUGGGAAGUCAGGCUGAGUGAAAGCUUCAAACAAAGGGAAAAAAAAAUAAAAAUCAAAGCCUUCUGAUGGGCACUGACUUCACCAGGAUUCAUUUUGCCCUUGGUAGGGCUUGCUCUUAGCUACAUCCAGAACAGCACUUUCCUGGGAUAUUAAACCAAUCGCCUGCAGGGCAGCAAGCCACGUAAACAUGCGUCUGCAUGUAGAAAUCAGCCUGUGGCAGCAGACACAUGCACUGCCAGGCUGAGACUUCUGCUUGCAUUUUGAAAUAAACACACAGGUGAGGCAGUGACGAUAUCCCAGUGCAGAAGGCACGCUCACCGACUACACCCUCCGAGGGAACGGGCCAAGCAGAACAGUUUCCCAAUGAAAAUUAGGUUCCUGUUCUUUUCAUGGGAAACAAAUUCUACGUUGCCGACCUGAACCCACUGGUCUGCCUUCUGGGAUGCAACUGGAAGACUGGGAGGGAAGUCAUGUGGGCUUUCAUGUUCAGUCCAUCUCGAUCAAGAUUAUUAGGGCCUUCCACAAUAACCCAUGCAAACAACGAUGCCAUUUGCAAAAAAAACCAAACAAACCCCAACCAUUCAAUUGCAGGACUUCUUUGGUACGGGGAGAAAUUCUCUCCAAGACAAAUGCCAAUUUUUCAGUCGGGGGAAGUAUUUUCAUGGGCAUAUUGGCAAGCCACCUGUGCAGAGGCAGGUCUACUCAACAGAGUUCCAUAAUCUGGUCACCAUCUCCAGCAAGAGAUAAAGAUAAGUAAGUCUAUUGCCUGCAGUCACUCUUUCUGUGUCUUGCUCCACACUUGCUAUUAGGUAAGUGCUGAUUCCACCAACAGCAGCAAAAACACCCGCCUGUUCCAUUAGGAUCAAAUUUUGGGACUAAAAGAUCAAAUAUUUGCACAACGAAUGAUUUGCUAGCAAGGGUAAUUACAUCGACAUCAAGGCACUGCAGGCUAGCGGUGAAUGUGGCCCAAAGCUGGUAUCAGAAGAAAGCUUUCCCGAUUUCCCUCCACCCCUGCCCCAUUCAUUUCCUUCCUACCUCAGCAAUGAGCAGUAAAGACCAUCGUUGUUUUGUUUCACCUCUCCCAGAACAAACUGAAUCGACUCCCGCCUAUAUCCUCUCAACUCAAGACUCUCCAUUCUUCCUUCCCCCGUUAGGCUGCAACAGAAACCAUAUCAGCUUCCAGAAAACGCCUCUCCAAGCAAUAAUAAAUACAUACAUCGGCUCUACCACACACACACCAGGACCAGCCACACUUUUCUCUACUCUGGACACCAACGUUCUCCCCCAAGCCACUCGCUCGCUCUCUAGGACAGUUACGUUCCCACCCUCUAACCCUUGGAAA